rnacentral:rRNA from 1 species
GGUUAAGCGACUAAGCGUACACGGUGGAUGCCCUGGCAGUCAGAGGCGAUGAAGGACGUGCUAAUCUGCGAAAAGCGCCGGCGAGGUGAUAUGAACCUUUGACCCGGCGAUGUCCGAAUGGGGAAACCCAGUGUGAUUCGUCACACUAUCGUUAACUGAAUACAUAGGUUAACGAGGCGAACCGGGGGAACUGAAACAUCUAAGUACCCCGAGGAAAAGAAAUCAACCGAGAUUCCCCCAGUAGCGGCGAGCGAACGGGGAGCAGCCCAGAGUCUGAAUCAGCUUGUGUGUUAGUGGAAGCGUCUGGAAAGUCGCACGGUACAGGGUGACAGUCCCGUACACGAAAGCACACAGGUUGUGAACUCGAAGAGUAGGGCGGGACACGUGGUAUCCUGUCUGAAUAUGGGGGGACCAUCCUCCAAGGCUAAAUACUCCUGACUGACCGAUAGUGAACCAGUACCGUGAGGGAAAGGCGAAAAGAACCCCGGCGAGGGGAGUGAAAAAGAACCUGAAACCGUGUACGUACAAGCAGUGGGAGCACCUUCGUGGUGUGACUGCGUACCUUUUGUAUAAUGGGUCAGCGACUUAUAUUCUGUAGCAAGGUUAACCGUAUAGGGGAGCCGAAGGGAAACCGAGUCUUAACUGGGCGUUAAGUUGCAGGGUAUAGACCCGAAACCCGGUGAUCUAGCCAUGGGCAGGUUGAAGGUUGGGUAACACUAACUGGAGGACCGAACCGACUAAUGUUGAAAAAUUAGCGGAUGACUUGUGGCUGGGGGUGAAAGGCCAAUCAAACCGGGAGAUAGCUGGUUCUCCCCGAAAGCUAUUUAGGUAGCGCCUCGUGAACUCAUCUUCGGGGGUAGAGCACUGUUUCGGCUAGGGGGCCAUCCCGGCUUACCAACCCGAUGCAAACUACGAAUACCGAAGAAUGUUAUCACGGGAGACACACGGCGGGUGCUAACGUCCGUCGUGAAGAGGGAAACAACCCAGACCGCCAGCUAAGGUCCCAAAGUCAUGGUUAAGUGGGAAACGAUGUGGGAAGGCACAGACAGCCAGGAUGUUGGCUUAGAAGCAGCCAUCAUUUAAAGAAAGCGUAAUAGCUCACUGGUCGAGUCGGCCUGCGCGGAAGAUGUAACGGGGCUAAACCAUGCACCGAAGCUGCGGCAGCGACACUAUGUGUUGUUGGGUAGGGGAGCGUUCUGUAAGCCGUUGAAGGUGUGCUGUGAGGCAUGCUGGAGGUAUCAGAAGUGCGAAUGCUGACAUAAGUAACGAUAAAGCGGGUGAAAAGCCCGCUCGCCGGAAGACCAAGGGUUCCUGUCCAACGUUAAUCGGGGCAGGGUGAGUCGACCCCUAAGGCGAGGCCGAAAGGCGUAGUCGAUGGGAAACAGGUUAAUAUUCCUGUACUUGGUGUUACUGCGAAGGGGGGACGGAGAAGGCUAUGUUAGCCGGGCGACGGUUGUCCCGGUUUAAGCAUGUAGGCGGAACGAUUAGGUAAAUCCGGUCGUUUUUUAACGCUGAGGUGUGAUGACGAGGCACUACGGUGCUGAAGUAACAAAUGCCCUGCUUCCAGGAAAAGCCUCUAAGCAUCAGGUAACAUUAAAUCGUACCCCAAACCGACACAGGUGGUCAGGUAGAGAAUACCAAGGCGCUUGAGAGAACUCGGGUGAAGGAACUAGGCAAAAUGGUGCCGUAACUUCGGGAGAAGGCACGCUGAUAUGUAGGUGAAGCCCCUGCGGGUGGAGCUGAAAUCAGUCGAAGAUACCAGCUGGCUGCAACUGUUUAUUAAAAACACAGCACUGUGCAAACACGAAAGUGGACGUAUACGGUGUGACGCCUGCCCGGUGCCGGAAGGUUAAUUGAUGGGGUUAGCGGCAACGCGAAGCUCUUGAUCGAAGCCCCGGUAAACGGCGGCCGUAACUAUAACGGUCCUAAGGUAGCGAAAUUCCUUGUCGGGUAAGUUCCGACCUGCACGAAUGGCGUAAUGAUGGCCAGGCUGUCUCCACCCGAGACUCAGUGAAAUUGAACUCGCUGUGAAGAUGCAGUGUACCCGCGGCAAGACGGAAAGACCCCGUGAACCUUUACUAUAGCUUGACACUGAACACUGGUCCUUGAUGUGUAGGAUAGGUGGGAGGCUUUGAAGCGUGGACGCCAGUCUGCGUGGAGCCGUCCUUGAAAUACCACCCUUUAAUGGCUGGUGUUCUAACGUAGACCCGUAAUCCGGGUUGCGGACAGUGUCUGGUGGGUAGUUUGACUGGGGCGGUCUCCUCCCAAAGAGUAACGGAGGAGCACGAAGGUUAGCUAAUCCUGGUCGGACAUCAGGAGGUUAGUGCAAUGGCAUAAGCUAGCUUGACUGCGAGAGUGACGGCUCGAGCAGGUGCGAAAGCAGGUCAUAGUGAUCCGGUGGUUCUGAAUGGAAGGGCCAUCGCUCAACGGAUAAAAGGUACUCCGGGGAUAACAGGCUGAUACCGCCCAAGAGUUCAUAUCGACGGCGGUGUUUGGCACCUCGAUGUCGGCUCAUCACAUCCUGGGGCUGAAGUAGGUCCCAAGGGUAUGGCUGUUCGCCAUUUAAAGUGGUACGCGAGCUGGGUUUAGAACGUCGUGAGACAGUUCGGUCCCUAUCUGCCGUGGGCGCUGGAGAAUUGAGGGGGGCUGCUCCUAGUACGAGAGGACCGGAGUGGACGCAUCACUGGUGUUCGGGUUGUCAUGCCAAUGGCACUGCCCGGUAGCUAAAUGCGGAAAAGAUAAGUGCUGAAAGCAUCUAAGCACGAAACUUGCCCCGAGAUGAGUUCUCCCUGAGACUUUAAGUCUCCUGAAGGAACGUUGAAGACGACGACGUUGAUAGGUCGGGUGUGUAAGCGCAGCGAUGCGUUGAGCUAACCGAUACUAAUGAACCGUGAGGCUUAACCUU